UACGUAGGGGGCAAGCGUUGUCCGGAUUUAUUGGGCGUAAAGAGCGUGUAGGCGGCCAUGUAGGUCCGUUGUGAAAACUCGAGGCUCAACCUCGAGACGCCGAUGGAAACCAUGUGGCUAGAGUCCGGAAGAGGAGAGUGGAAUUCCUGGUGUAGCAGUGAAAUGCGCAGAUAUCAGGAAGAACACCCGUGGCUAAGGCGGCUCUCUAGUACGGUACUGACGCUGAGACGCGAAAGCGUGGGGAGCAAACAGG
rnacentral:rRNA from 1 species